AUCUCUUCUUGGCCUUUUGGCUAAGAUCAAGUGUAGCAUCUUGGUCUCAUCGGUUGAUGCGUCUUCCAUUUGAUGACAGUCCAUCGAAUGGACUUCUGGAGCAGGGAGAUGGAACCGGAGCCUCCUCCGUCCACUCCACGCAUCAACCCGGUGUAGCAGUGCCUCCAGGAAUGGUGCACCAAAA
rnacentral:snRNA from 1 species